ACUUUGGAAUGCGCGGGAAAUAGAGUUUGUUUUCUUUCUUGGAUAAUGACAAACUACUAAUGGCUUUCCAAAACGCGUUUUUGAAGUCGUUACUUCCGAAACUCGGAAUAGAAGACGAUAAAGUUCUUAAGAAGGCUUCAGAGCUGCAGCGUAUAUUAGACUUGAAAAUAUCAUCUGGAGGUGCCAAAAAUUUAAAACUAAGUGAAAGUGCAAAGGCAGUGAUGUGUGCUGAUCUAGCAGCUGUACAUUUUGGCAUAACUUGUGAAAGGGAUGACUUUGUAAGAAUUUCUGGAAUGAAGAAUAGAUUAUACAUAACAAAUCGCAGCAUAAUAGAAAAGCUUGUAGGAAUGGAGGAGACACUAGAUGUGAAUAAAAUUUGUGUACAACUUGGCAUUUCUGAAAUAAGCAACUUUGCUCAGACAAUUUUGGAUCAAUAUUUGGAACAAAAUGCUGUUGCAGACAGAAAUGACAAGAUGUAUGGUAUAAUUGCAGUAUAUGUGGCUUGCAGGGAAAGAAAAGUAAAGCUUCAGAUGCGUAAAUUCAUGGAAAUGUGUAAUCUAAAAAAAAGUGGGUUUGUUAAGUUAGUUGCUGAUUUUGACAAAUCUGUUGCAUCUAUGAGAAGACAAAAAGAAGAACCUGCAGAACAUGCACCAUUAUCAAAAGAAGUCAAUCUGAAUGAUUUGCAGAAAGCAGUGAAAAGAAGAAGUCAGUCACCUCCAAAAGAGGAGGAAAGCUAUUCUGACUGGAAGAGAAGAAUGCUGCAGGAAAUAAAUGAAUCAUCAGAAGACUGCUGAUGUGUUCAUAGGAAGAACAAGGAAGAUUAACAUAUUGUCAGUUGCUUGCUUGUGUUCAGAAAGAUCUCAUCCCACUCUUACUUGAAAAGUUUAGGGACCUCCAACACUUGACACAGUUUUGCAGCCCAGCAGCAAGGGCUUGCUACAUGAAAACAGCCAUUUUAUGAGACGAAAAAAAUGAAAGAGCAAGUGUCAGAAAAAAGCAAAGUAUUCGGUGCAGCAGUGACAACUAAAGACUUCGCCUUAAAUGUAUUAUUUCAGUGUCACAUAUCUGACUGUUGUUUCUGAUAAUAGUGUGUAGUAAAAUUUCAAAAUUGGA